rnacentral:lncRNA from 1 species
GGAUAUAUAUGGCCCUAAUGUAUAAUGCUGGGGAUAUAUUCGUUAAAGAAUUCAAACGAAGGAUAAAUAUAAUAUGUUUUGAAUAGUACAAGGAUAUAUUUGACCCUUCACCGUUUAUAUUUUAUACAAAAGAAGAGAUAAAGUAGGACCCGAAAAGAAGGCACGUGGAUGGACAUAAAGGUUUAGCUUUGGUAGUAGUACUGAAGCCGUAGGUGAGGGUAGGGAGAAAAUCAUACGGAAAAUCUUGGGAGUUUAAUGUGGGUUUGUGUUCCUGGGUGGUGGGUCCAAAUAAGAGGCUUUAAGGGUCAGGGAAGGACGAAAUAAGAAAAAAGAAGAGUUGGAGCAGUACUUCUUUUAGGAAACACUUUAGUAUGGAAAGUUGAAAGAGGAUAUGAAUUAGUGGUGACAGUUGAGGUGGCCAUAUAUGGGGAGGGGGACGAGGGGAUAAGGG